AUUGAACGCUGGCGGCAGGCCUAACACAUGCAAGUCGAGCGGAGCGGCGGACGGGUGAGUAAUGCCUAGGAAUCUGCCUGGUAGUGGGGGAUAACGUCCGGAAACGGGCGCUAAUACCGCAUACUAUCAGAUGAGCCUAGGUCGGAUUGGCUAGUUGGUGGGGUAAAGGCCUACCAAGGCGACGAUCCGUAACUGGUCUGAGAGGAUGAUCAGUCACACGGGGACUGAGACACGGUGCAGAGGCCGACGGGGGGCAGCAGGGGGGAAUGGUGGGCAGUGGGCGAGAGCCUGAUCCAGCCAUGCCGCGGGUGUGAAGAAGGUCUUCGGAUUGUAAAGCACUUUAAGUUGGGAGGCGUUACCAACAGAAUAAGCACCGGCUAACUUCGUGCCAGCAGCCGCGGUAAUUC
rnacentral:rRNA from 1 species